rnacentral:tRNA from 1 species
GGACGAUUAGUUUAACUGGCCAAAACGCUGUCGAAGACAGAAAAGCAGGUUCGACUCCUGCAUCGCCCACCA